rnacentral:rRNA from 1 species
AGUGAACGCUGGCGGUGGGCCUAACACAUGCAAGUCGAACGGCAGCACAGGAGAGCUUGCUCUCUGGGUGGCGAGUGGCGGACGGGUGAGGAAUACAUCGGAAUCUACUCUGUCGUGGGGGAUAACGUAGGGAAACUUACGCUAAUACCGCAUACGACCUACGGGUGAAAGCAGGGGACCUUCGGGCCUUGCGCGAUUGAAUGAGCCGAUGUCGGAUUAGCUAGUUGGCGGGGUAAAGGCCCACCAAGGCGACGAUCCGUAGCUGGUCUGAGAGGAUGAUCAGCCACACUGGAACUGAGACACGGUCCAGACUCCUACGGGAGGCAGCAGCGGGGAAUAUUGGACAAUGGGCGCAAGCCUGAUCCAGCCAUACCGCGUGGGUGAAGAAGGCCUUCGGGUUGUAAAGCCCUUUUGUUGGGAAAGAAAUCCAGCUGGCUAAUACCCGGUUGGGAUGACGGUACCCAAAGAAUAAGCACCGGCUAACUUCGUGCCAGCCGCCGCAGUAA